rnacentral:rRNA from 1 species
CGGAAACGGUUGCUAAUACCGCAUAAUGCAGCGGCACCUAAUGGUGACAGUUGUUAAAGCGGGGGAUCGUAAGACCUCGCGUCUGAAGAGGAGCCUGCGGCGGAUUAGCUAGUUGGUAAGGUAAUGGCUUACCAAGGCGACGAUCCGUAACCGGCCUGAGAGGGCGGUCGGUCACACUGACACCGACAUACGGGUCAGACUCCUACGGGAGGCAGCAGUCGGGAAUUUUGGGCAAUGGGCGAAAGCCUGACCCAGCAACGCCGCGUGAAGGAUGAAAUCCCUCGGGAUGUAAACUUCGCAAGAACGGGAAGAAUAAGUCGGUGUAAAUACCACCGACGAUGACGGUACCGUUUGUAAGCUCCGGCUAACUCCGUGCCAGCAGCCGCGGUAAUACGGGGGGAGCAAGCGUUGUUCGGAUUUACUGGGCGUAAAGGGCGCGUAGGCGGCCAGCGCAAGUCAGUUGUGAAAUCUCCGAGCUUAACUCGGAAAGGUCAACUGAUACUGCGCGGCUAGAGUGCGGAAGGGGCAACUGGAAUUCUCGGUGUAGCGGUGAAAUGCGUAGAUAUCGAGAGGAACACCUGCGGCGAAGGCGGGUUGCUGGGCCGACACUGACGCUGAGGCGCGAAAGCUAGGGGAGCGA